rnacentral:rRNA from 1 species
AGUUCAUACCUAGUAAAAAGUGAGACUGCGAAAGGCUCAGUAUAUCAGUUAUAGUUUAUUCGAUUGUGAAAUCCACAUGGAUAACCGUGGAAAAUCUAGAGCUAACACAUGCGAAAAAUGAUUAUGACUUUCGAGUUGUAGUUAUGCAUUUAUUAGAUUAGAACCAAUCAAAGGCGUUAAAAACCUUUGUCGUGGUGAGUCUGAAUAACUGUGCCGAUCGUAUGGCCUUGAGCCGACGACGUUUCGAUUAAAUUUCUGCCCUAUCAAUUUGUUGGUAUGGUAGUGGCUUACCAAGAUUAUUACGGGUAACGGGGAAUCAGGGUUCGAUUCCGGAGAGGGAGCCUGAGAAACGGCUACCACAUCCAAGGAAGGCAGCAGGCGCGCAAAUUACCCAAUCCAAACACUGGGAGGUGGUGACGAGAAAUACCAGGUCGUUCCCAAAAGGAUUCGACACUGGAAUGAAUGUAACUUAAAAAAUUCAAUGAGUAGCAACUGGAGGGCAAGUCUGGUGCCAGCAGCCGCGGUAAUUCCAGCUCCAGUAGUGUAUCCUAAAGUUGCUGCGGUUAAAACGCUCGUAGUUGGACAAUAGAGUAACUCAGUGCGGGCGGGAGACGUCCCUACUUUGUGAGUAUAUUGCUAGUUUUGAACGAAACAGUAUGCACAUAUUGUACCGGUUCUCGACCAUGCAGCUGAGUUGCUUAAAUUAUUUUGUGAGAAUAACGUAUGACCUUUAUUGUGUUGUGCGUUGUAUCUUGCAUAGCGUGCCUUGAAUAAAUCAGAGUGCUCAAAGCAAGCUUACGCUUGAAUGUUAAUAGCAUGGAACGAAUGUUUUUGUGAAUGCGUAAUCGGUAACUUUCGGGUUGCUAAUUACGUAGCACCAACCACGAAGCAGAACAUUGGUUGCUGUCUUCGGGUGAUGAUUAAGAGGGGCAUUUGGGGGCAUUAGUAUUUGGACGCGAGAGGUGAAAUUCUUGGACCGUCCAAGGACUAACAAGUGCGAAAGCAUUUGCCAAGUAUGUUCCCUUUAAUCAAGAACGAAAGUGAGAGGAUCGAAGACGAUCAGAUACCGUCCUAGUUCUCACCGUAAACUAUGCCAACCCGGGAUCAGUUCGGAUGUAUUUAUAUUGGAUCCAGGUUGGUCCCCCUGGGAAACCUUGAGUUUUUGGGUUCCGGGGGGAGUAUGGUUGCAAGGCUGAAACUUAAAGGAAUUGACGGAAGGGCACCACCAGGAGUGGAGCCUGCGGCUUAAUUUGACUCAACACGGGAAAACUCACCUGGUCCGGACAUCGAUAGGAUUGACAGACUAAUAGAUCUUUCAUGAUACGGUGGUUGGUGGUGCAUGGCCGUUCUUAGUUCGUGGAGUGAUCUGUCAGGUUGAUUCCGGUAACGAACGAGACCACGAUCUCCAUUUGGGGGAUUAUAAUUUACAUAUGUUGAAUUUUAUGUUGGUUUAUCCUUCAUAGAAGACAAUAUAAUUGUUAUUAUGAUGUAUGUGCAGCAAUGUGCAUUCCUAUGGAGAGACAGCCGGAUUUUAAACCGGAGGAAGCGUGGCAAUAACAGGUCUGUGAUGCCCUUCGAUGUUCAGGGCUGCACGCGCGCUAUAAUGAUAACGACAACGAGUAUCUGGACUGAAAAGUUCUGGGGAAUCUUGUAAAUCGUUAUCGUACUGGGGAUUGAGCAUUGUAAUUGUUGCUCAUGAACGAAGAAUUUCUUGUAACUGCAACUCAUUCAGGUUGCGAUGAAUAAGUCUCUGCCCUUUGUACACACCGCCCGUCGCUACUACCGAGUGAAUGGUGUCAUGAUGUCUUGGGACUGGACGUUGUUGGUAGUGCAAACUACGGAUGACGCUAGGAGCAAGACAAAAUGGCCCUAUUUCGAGGAAGUAAAAGU